ACACAUGUAUUUUGAAAUCUUAAACUUUAAUGAACACUCAGUUUCAAAGGUUAGUUUAAUCUGAAACUGAACUUUCAGGACCAGUUUCUAUGCCACUCAUUACUGUUGAAUAAUAUGAGAUUAGUGUGAAAAAAUGCAUAUAUUUCUUCAUGUACAACUGUAAAGUUUCCAGGACUCAUCUCACAAUGACCAUGAACAAUUUAAAAAGCCCACUGUGUGGAAAGUGAACUUCCAAGCAGUCGAGGGAUAAAUCAUUUCACCCAGUCCCUUGCACUGCAUCAGCACUUCCUGAAGUGAAGCAACUUCAAGAUUGUUUGAGGAGACUCUUACAAGGGCGUUAAUUUGAAGCAGUGUUUGACAGCUUUUCUUAAAAGUCUUUCAGACUGAUCAUCCUUUUCAUUCUGGAAAAACUGGGGGAAAAAAAACCUUCUUUCCCACCUUUGAACACACCAGUAUGUCACAGGCAGUGGGAAUCCACAUCUUUGAAGAGACUUUUCCAGUGCUUGUCUGAGUUCAGGCUCCACAAGCACUGGUUCUUUUAAAGACAACCUGUCUUCUGAAGGCUG
rnacentral:lncRNA from 1 species